rnacentral:rRNA from 1 species
UGGGGAAUAUUGGACAAUGGGCGCAAGCCUGAUCCAGCCAUGCCGCGUGAGUGAUGAAGGCUCUAGGGUUGUAAAGCUCUUUCGCCGAUGAAGAUAAUGACGGUAGUCGGAGAAGAAGCCCCGGCUAACUUCGUG